rnacentral:rRNA from 1 species
CCUACGGGCGGCAGCAGUGGGGAAUAUUGCACAAUGGGCGCAAGCCUGAUGCAGCCAUGCCGCGUGUGUGAAGAAGGCCUUCGGGUUGUAAAGCACUUUCAGCGGGGAGGAAGGCGGUGAGGUUAAUAACCUCAUCGAUUGACGUUACCCGCAGAAGAAGCACCGGCUAACUCCGUGCCAGCAGCCGCGGUAAUACGGAGGGUGCAAGCGUUAAUCGGAAUUACUGGGCGUAAAGCGCACGCAGGCGGUCUGUCAAGUCGGAUGUGAAAUCCCCGGGCUCAACCUGGGAACUGCAUUCGAAACUGGCAGGCUAGAGUCUUGUAGAGGGGGGUAGAAUUCCAGGUGUAGCGGUGAAAUGCGUAGAGAUCUGGAGGAAUACCGGUGGUGAAGGCGGCCCCCUGGACAAAGACUGACGCUCAGGUGCGAAAGCGUGGGGAGCAAACAGGAUUAGAUACCCGAGUAGUC